GAUGAUCUGGAUUGUCGAGAGGACAUUUUUUUUUUUUUCCUUUGUUAGGUUACCUCUUGAUCUUUUCUACCUUUGGUCGCUUUUUGGCCGUUGGAGUUUUGAUUUUUUUAGGUCAAAAGUGAAACAGCAGGAUUUACAGUCAUGAUAAGAGGAGUGAAAUUUACAAGGAUUGCCCGUCGUGUAUCCAUGGGAACUUGAAAAGUUCGCUAAGACUUACUUGGAUUAUUUCAUCAUGAUCACCCCCGUAGAUCAUCAUAGCUCCUUGUUUUCUGGCGUCAAAGUCGUCUUACAUAUGAAAAAAAAAAGAAACCGAAAAAAAAAAUGACAUCAAAAUGUCGGAAUCGUUUCUGACAAACGAACGAUCGGCGUCCAACUACUGCGACGUCGGGUUAAUUCCGUCGAGAUACGUAGACAGGGUUAGAUGUCAAACAUGCCGUUGACGAAAAAAAGUGGAAAAAAGAGUUUCCACAUUUUACAUUUCGGCAGCUGGCAGACUGAUGGCCGAUGGGUUACAGACAGCUCCAAAACCCCGACGGGGGCAAUCAUAAUCAGUGACUGGAGCUUGUGCACAGACAGGUCGGGCGCUUGGUCUUUUGAUUUUUGGAGGAAACGGUAAGGCGGCGGGGGAUGAAGCCGAUUUGUUUAAAGGAAUUGGCGGGGCGCUACCGUGGACAUAACCCCAUGCGUUGGCGGAUAAGGUAAGUAGCAGUGUCAGCUAAUCGCAGUGUCAGUUAGUUGUUACUGAGCUGGGCUGUUGGUGUGUGGGAAGAGUGUAAUGGUAGUCUCUGCAUGCAUGGCGGGGUUGCGACUAG
rnacentral:sRNA from 1 species